rnacentral:snoRNA from 1 species
AACUCCAGCCUGGGCGACAGAGCCAGACUCUGUCUAAAAAAAAAAAAAAAAGCUUGAUGGUGCCCAUCUCAUGUCAGCCAGGAACAAAGCAACCCCUUGUUUAUCCCAGCUUGGCUUCUGGUCUAUGCCCAUGCCUGGUUUAUGCUUUGGACACAUAG